UACGUAGGGGGCGAGCGUUGUCCGGAAUUACUGGGCGUAAAGAGCGCGUAGGCGGCACCAUAAGUCUUGUGUGAAAGCCCCCGGCUCAACUGGGGAGGGUCGCGAGAAACUGUGGAGCUGGAGUGUCGGAGAGGGAAGUGGAAGUCCCGGAGUAGGGGUGAAAUCCGUAGAGACCGGGCCGAACACCAGUGGCGAAGGCGGCUUCCUGGCCGACGACUGACGCUGAGGCGCGAAAGCGUGGGGAGCGAACGGG
rnacentral:rRNA from 1 species